GGGGUGNCAGGCGAUACGGGCAUAUUUAGAGUGCUGUAGGGGAGACUGGAAUUCCUGGUGUAGCGGUGGAAUGCGCAGAUAUCAGGAGGAACACCGAUGGCGAAGGCAGGUCUCUGGGCAGUAACUGACGCUGAGGAGCGAAAGCAUGGGGAGCGAACAGGAUUAGAUACCCUGGUAGUCCAUGCUGUAAACGGUGGGCGUUAGGUGUGGGGACCGGUUUGGUUUCUGUGCCGUAGCUAACGCAUUAAGCGCCCCGCCUGGGGAGUACGGCCGCAAGGCUAAAACUCAAAGGAAUUGACGGGGGCCCGCACAAGCGGCGGAGCAUGUGGAUUAAUUCGAUGCAACGCGAAGAACCUUACCUGGGUUUGACAUGCACCAGACGGUUGUAGAGAUACGUACCUCCCUUUGUGGUUGGUGUGCAGGUGGUGCAUGGUUGUCGUCAGCUCGUGUCGUGAGAUGUUGGGUUAAGUCCCGCAACGAGCGCAACCCUUGUCUUAUGUUGCCAGCACUUUGGGUGGGGACUCAUGAGAGACUGCCGGGGUUAACUCGGAGGAAGGUGGGGAUGACGUCAAAUCAUCAUGCCCUUUAUGCCCAGGGCUUCACACAUGCUACAAUGGUUAGUACAACGCGCUGCGAGCCUGUGAGGGUGAGCGAAUCGCUGAAAGCUAAUCUCAGUUCGGAUUGGGGUCUGCAACUCGACCCCAUGAGGUCGGAGUCGCUAGUAAUCGCAGAUCAGCAAUGCUGCGGUGAAUACGUUCCCGGGCCUUGUACACACCGC
rnacentral:rRNA from 1 species